CAGUUAUGGCAGUGGUACUUUGUUAUGGUACUUAGCAAACUCAUACAGUAGGUAAAUUAUUCUACCCUAUGACCCGAUUCUUUUGAGAUUUACUCAAGUCCUCGUAGUGUGCCCCAAUGGAUUUGUAAUAGAAACAGAAUGGAAGAACAAAGUACCCUGUUCUUUCUAAGGGCUUCUAUUCCCAUGGAGUCCUGACGGGUCUGCCAAACAAAGGGUGAUCACAUGAUCAAGACUAUGACAUCCUAAGAUUCCUUCCCACUACAACUGGCCCAGGGGAGACUUCUGGCUCAAGCUGUCAAUCAGCCUCUCCUAGGAUCUGAAACCUGAAGAAAAGCAUGGCUACCAGUUCAAUUUGACAUGUAUCCUAGACACAGAGAAACAUAUAACUGAAGCUGAGAAGGCAGUGUCGCACAGGCCUGAGUCUGGGAAGUGGACCCAGAGUUAACGAGCAAGAAGUCCACAGGUUAUAUUGAAUGGCUGCCCUCCUAUCUUGUCUGGAAGAGAUCCCCAGAGGACCCCAGCUCUCAGAGCCAGAAAUUGGUUUCUUCCUUCCAAGCAGACAUGACUCCCCAGACUCUGACCCUUGGGAUGUAUGCACAAAACAUUUCUUUCCAUUCCGUCACCCAGGUAUCCACCGAGGCUUCCCUGCCACUCUGGCACCUGCAACUGAAAUGCUGUCCCUGUGCUCUGUUCUUUUUGUAGUUUUUUCACUACCUCAUAUUACAUUCUAAGCUUAUAGGUUAACUUGCUCAUUAUUUGACUCCACCACUAAAAAUAUAAAUUCCAUGAGAGAAGGCAAUUUGCUCUCUUUUUCACGACUGGAUCGUCAGAGCUUAAACAGUGGCUGGAACAUACAGUGAAUUCAACAAGUACCUGUUAAAUGAAUAAAUGAUUUAAAUAACACAGUCACUCUGUGCAGCUGAACAAAAAACUCAGCUCUGAUUCAAGAACUACUAAAUAAUUAACUCUACAAAAAUAUUACUUGGAAAUGUUGAUUUUACUGAAGAUUUUGGAUGGGAAAUAGAGAAAGGAUUUAUAUUGGAACUCUUCAUUAAAAAUUGUUCAACCUCAUUCAUAACAAAAAGAAUGCAAAUUAAAAUCGGACCAAGAAGCCUGCAGAGCCUAGGAAGAGUAAACAGAACUGUGGAGAUGGGGAGAGAAAGGAGGGGAAGGGAGGUACCUGGCACAUAGCCCAAGGGAACGAGAAAAGUAUUUAUGUGGGAGAGGGGCAGAGAUGUGAGAUGUGUUACAUACAGGAGGGAUGCUCAAAUAAACAACUAUUUAAGGAUAAUGUGAGCUAAGUUUCUCACUGUCAGAGAAGGGAAUUAAAAAUACAGAAAAGGAGAAAACUAUAAUGAAUCAUGUGAUGUUGGAUAAGAAUUGAAGGUAUGGUAUCAACCUAUAGUUGUAAUGUAUAGAAAUAAAUAAAUAUAGAUGUAAACAUGUGUCUAUUAAGAAGGCCUAGGAAUAGAGAUAACCCAAUAGUGAGGAGCACACGUAGCACCCAGAUCUUG
rnacentral:lncRNA from 1 species